rnacentral:rRNA from 1 species
UACGGAGGGUGCAAGCGUUAUCCGGAAUCACUGGGUUUAAAGGGUGCGUAGGCGGCUUAGUAAGUCAGGAGUGAAAGCCUGCGGCUUAACCGUAGAAAUGCUUUUGAUACUGCUGAGCUUGAAUUAGGUUGAGGUUGGCGGAAUGUGACAUGUAGCGGUGAAAUGCAUAGAGAUGUCAGAGAACACCAAUUGCGAAGGCAGCUGACUAGACCUGAAUUGACGCUGAGGCACGAAAGCGUGGGGAGCGAACAGG